rnacentral:rRNA from 1 species
CGCGGCCUAUCAGCUUGUUGGUGGGGUGAUGGCCUACCAAGGCGUCGACGGGUAGCCGGCCUGAGAGGGCGACCGGCCACACUGGGACUGAGACACGGCCCAGACUCCUGCGGGAGGCAGCAGUGGGGAAUAUUGCGCAAUGGGCGGAAGCCUGACACAGCGACGCCGCGUGAGGGAUGACGGCCUUCGGGUUGUAAACCUCUUUCAGCACAGACCAAGGCUUAGUUUCUGCUGGGUUGAGUGUAUGUGCAGAAGAAGCACCGGCUAACUACGUGCCAGCAGCCGCGGUAAUACGUAGGGUGCGAGCGUUGUCCGGAUUUAUUGGGCGUAAAGGGCUCGUAGGCGGUUUGUCGCGUCGGAAGUGAAAGCCCACUGCUUAACGGUGGGUCUGCUUUCGGUACGGGCAGACUGGAGUGUGGCAGGGGAGACUGGAAUUCCUGGUGUAGCGGUGGAAUGCGCAGAUAUCAGGAGGAACACCGGUGGCGAAGGCGGGUCUCUGGGCCAUUACUGACGCUGAGGAGCGAAAGCGUGGGGAGCGAACAGGAUUAGAUACCCUGGUAGUCCACGCUGUAAACGUUGGGCGCUAGGUGUGGGGACUGUUUCCACGGUUUCCGUGCCGUAGCUAACGCAUUAAGCGCCCCGCCUGGGGAGUACGG